rnacentral:rRNA from 1 species
CCUACGGGUGGCAGCAGUGAGGAAUAUUGGUCAAUGGGCUCGCGCCUGAACCAGCCAAGUAGCGUGAAGGAUGACUGCCCUACGGGUUGUAAACUUCUUUUAUCAAGGAAUAAAGUGAGGCACGUGUGCCUUUUUGUAUGUACUUUAUGAAUAAAGAUCGGCUAACUCCGUGCCAGCAGCCGCGGUAAUACGGAGGGUCCGAGCGUUAUCCGGAUUUAUUGGGUUUAAAGGGAGCGUAGAUGGGUUGUUAAGUCAGUUGUGAAAGUUUGCGGGUCAACCGUAAAAUUGCAAUUGAUACUGGCAGCCUUGAGUACAGUUGAGGUAGGCGGAAUGCGUGGUGUAGCGGUGAAAUGCUUAGAUAUCACGAAGAACUCCGAUUGCGAAGGCAGCUUACUAAACUGCCACUGACAUUGAUGCUCGAAAGUGUGGGUAUCAAACAGGAUUAGAUACCCGGGUAGUC